rnacentral:lncRNA from 1 species
UUUAGCAUUGGACAUCAUGCUAGCCUCUGGGGACAGAGAGUUACACAAAAUAUGACUCUCACCUUUAAAAGAUCAUAGUCUUUCUGGAGGUGUGGAAACUAUGAGCAGAGAGAUAGUAAUGCCAGGGACAGCAUCAGAAUUUGUAGAACUCUGUCUUAUCUGGGUGCAGGUACGUGAGCCCCAGCUACUGUUCCAGCACCGUGUCUGCCUGCCUUCUUCCAUGUUUCCUGCCAUGAUGGUCAUGGACUCUGAAACUGAAUGCAUAAUGGUACAAUCCAGAUGCAGCAAGCCACAGCUUCUUCUUAGCAAAGUGCUCAAAGGAAUUGUGCCAGUAAACUGUGACGGUGGGUAGGCAAGGUCAUUCAAUGCAUUCUGACUUAUCAUAUUUAAAAAAUAUUAAAAAACAUUUAUUUAUUCUCUUUCCCUCUCUCUUUUUGUGUGCUACUCCCCAUUUUUCUUGUUUCUACAGUCUAGGGAGAGGAGGUCACCUAGGAGAUUGAAAAGGGCAGAAGAGAGUCUCUCCUGCCUGUCUGCCCCAAGGGAGUCUUCUGCUGCUGCGUUUGGAUCAAGUUGUAGAGCUCUUCCAGUACCAUGUCUGCCUGCAUGCUACCAUGCUUCCUGCCAUGAUGAUAAUGGACUGAACCUCUGAACCUGUAAGCCAGCCCCAAUUACAUGUUUGCUUGGAUCCAUAAACCUCCAGAGUUAGAAGGCAGACACCACAAUCAAAUGUAUGAUGCUGGCCAGGCCCUCUGCAAGUAGACCUCCAGGAAGCUGGGAUGGACACAGUAGCGAAGGAGACGGAGGCUAAGCUGA